CUUAUUUUUUAAUUAUUUCAGGUCACUCAUUCAGAUUCUAGUUUAAAGAAUAGUGUCACAGUAACAUGGACUGCUCCAGCAACUGCUGGCAUGCUUGAAAUCAGGUAUACUGUGGUUGUAAGGAAUGAUGGCAGUAGUAUAUUCUAUGCAAACAUGAACGCUGGUGAUUUCAGACCUGGUAGCACUGAGAUAUGUCCAAUGACUGAUAAGGUAAGUUCCAUAAAUCCUUAUAAUAUUCUAUAUACAUUUGUAUCAAAUUACUUAAGUGCUGACAUGUACCUUAUUUACUUAAAUAAAAGCCCAGGCGUCUAUUUCCUAAAAUGGUACUCGGACCUCCAAAAAAUUUUUAAAAAUAAAAUAAAACUUGGGCCCAGAGUGGGAUUGGAACCACUGACCUCACUCAUUUGACUUCAGGAACUUAAGGAAGUAUCUGCAAGGCAUCUGAGUUGUUUUUAGCCUACGUGUAGAUUUGCAUAUUUAUAGUUCAAUUCUAUUGCAACACUGGCAUUUAUUUGCAUCUGGCUUUUAUUUAAGGAUAUACGGUACAUAGUAACAUGCUUUUAAAUUGUUUUUAAAGUCAUUUUGUAUUAUGCACACUACAUGUCCUUAAUACAGAGGUGGAGAUACUUUUAUAUUGGUUUGUUGUACUAAUUGGGACAUUUUAUU